rfam:Ovis aries breed Texel chromosome 16, whole genome shotgun sequence.
UCCCUGGUAGCUCACUAGGUAAAGAUUCUGCUUGCAAUGCAGGAGAUCCAGGUUUGAUCCCUGGGUGGGGAA